UUACCAGACAAAUCCAAAAAUGUGAGACUUUGAAGUGCUCAUAUCAGUGUUGGAAUGUUUCCAGUAAGAAUGUUAGAAGACAAGUCCAAAUAGAUGAGAUUAUGAAGAGCUCCUAU